UACAGAGGUGGCAAGCGUUGUUCGGAAUUACUGGGCGUAAAGGGCGCGUAGGCGGCCUUCUAAGUCAGACGUGAAAUCCCCCGGCUUAACCUGGGAACUGCGUCUGAUACUGGAUGGCUUGAGAUUGGGAGAGGGAUGCGGAAUUCCAGGUGUAGCGGUGAAAUGCGUAGAUAUCUGGAGGAACACCGGUGGCGAAGGCGGCAUCCUGGACCGACACUGACGCUGAGGAGCGAAAGCCAGGGGAGCAAACGGG
rnacentral:rRNA from 1 species